GAGUACGGCGAGACACGAGAAAUCUCGUCGGAAUCUGGGAGGCCCAUCUCCCAACCCUAAAUACUCUCUAGUGACCGAUAGUGAACCAGUACCCUGAGGGAAAGGUGAAAAGCACCCCGGGAGGGGAGUGAAAUAGAACCUGAAACCGUGUGCCUACAACAAGUUCGAGCCCGUUAAUGGGUGAGAGCGUGCCUUUUGUAGAAAGAACCGGCGAGUUACGAUAUGAUGCGAGGUUAAGUUGAAGAGACGGAGCCGUAGGGAAACCGAGUCUUAAUAGGGCGCAUUAGUAUCAUGUCGUAGACCCGAAACCAUGUGACCUACCCAUGAGCAGGUUGAAGGUGAGGUAAAACUCACUGGAGGACCGAACCAGGGCACGUUGAAAAGUGCUUGGAUGACUUGUGGGUAGCGGAGAAAUUCCAAACGAACUUGGAGAUAGCUGGUUCUCUCCGAAAUAGCUUUAGGGCUAGCGUCGAUGUUAAGUCUCUUGGAGGUAGAGCACUGUUUGGGUGAGGGGUCCAUCCCGGAUUACCAAUCUCAGAUAAACUCCGAAUGCCAACGAGAUAUAAUCGGCAGUCAGACUGCGAGUGCUAAGAUCCGUAGUCGAAAGGGAAACAGCCCAGACCACCAGCUAAGGUCCCAAAAUAUAUGUUAAGUGGAAAAGGAUGUGGGGUUGCACAGACAACUAGGAUGUUAGCUUAGAAGCAGCUAUUCAUUCAAAGAGUGCGUAAUAGCUCACUAGUCGAGUGACCCUGCGCCGAAAAUGUACCGGGGCUAAAACAUAUUACCGAAGCUGUGGAUACCUUUAUAGGUAUGGUAGGAGAGCGUUCUAUGUGCGAAGAAGGUGUACCGUGAGGAGUGCUGGAGCGCAUAGAAGUGAGAAUGCCGGUAUGAGUAGCGAAAGACAGGUGAGAAUCCUGUCCACCGUAAGACUAAGGUUUCCAGGGGAAGGCUCGUCCGCCCUGGGUUAGUCGGGACCUAAGGAGAGACCGAAAGGUGUAUCCGAUGGACAACAGGUUGAUAUUCCUGUACUAGAGUAUAUAGUGAUGGAGGGACGCAGUAGGCUAACUAAACCAGACGAUUGGAAGUGUCUGGCCAAGCAGUGAGGUGUGAUAUGAGUCAAAUGCUUAUAUCUAUAACAUUGAGCUGUGAUGGGGAGCGAAGUUUAGUAGCGAAGUUAGUGAUGUCACACUGCCGAGAAAAGCUUCUAGCGUUAAUUAUACUCUACCCGUACCGCAAACCGACACAGGUAGUCGAGGCGAGUAGCCUCAGGUGAGCGAGAGAACUCUCGUUAAGGAACUCGGCAAAAUGGCCCCGUAACUUCGGGAGAAGGGGCGCUGACUUAUGGUCAGCCGCAGUGAAUAGGCCCAAGCAACUGUUUAUCAAAAACACAGCUCUCUGCUAAAUCGUAAGAUGAUGUAUAGGGGGUGACGCCUGCCCGGUGCUGGAAGGUUAAGAGGAGUGCUUAGCAAUAGCGAAGGUAUGAAUUGAAGCCCCAGUAAACGGCGGCCGUAACUAUAACGGUCCUAAGGUAGCGAAAUUCCUUGUCGGGUAAGUUCCGACCCGCACGAAAGGCGUAAUGAUUUGGGCACUGUCUCAACGAGAGACUCGGUGAAAUUUUAGUACCUGUGAAGAUGCAGGUUACCCGCGACAGGACGGAAAGACCCCAUGGAGCUUUACUGCAGUUUGAUAUUGAGUAUCUGUACCACAUGUACAGGAUAGGUAGGAGCCUAUGACCUCGGGACGCCAGUUUCGAGUGAGGCGUUGUUGGGAUACUACCCUUGUGUUAUGGCUACUCUAACCCAGAUAGGUUAUCCCUAUCGGAGACAGUGUCUGACGGGCAGUUUGACUGGGGCGGUCGCCUCCUAAAAGGUAACGGAGGCGCCCAAAGGUUCCCUCAGAAUGGUUGGAAAUCAUUCGCAGAGUGUAAAGGUAUAAGGGAGCUUGACUGCGAGAGUUACAACUCGAGCAGGGACGAAAGUCGGGCUUAGUGAUCCGGUGGUUCCGCAUGGAAGGGCCAUCGCUCAACGGAUAAAAGCUACCCUGGGGAUAACAGGCUUAUCUCCCCCAAGAGUUCACAUCGACGGGGAGGUUUGGCACCUCGAUGUCGGCUCGUCGCAUCCUGGGGCUGUAGUCGGUCCCAAGGGUUGGGCUGUUCGCCCAUUAAAGCGGCACGCGAGCUGGGUUCAGAACGUCGUGAGACAGUUCGGUCCCUAUCCGUCGCGGGCGUAGGAAAUUUGAGAGGAGCUGCUCCUAGUACGAGAGGACCAGAGUGGACUUACCGCUGGUGUACCAGUUGUUCUGCCAAGAGCAUCGCUGGGUAGCUAUGUAGGGAAGGGAUAAACGCUGAAAGCAUCUAAGUGUGAAGCCUACCUCAAGAUGAGAUUUCCCAUGAUUUU
rnacentral:rRNA from 1 species